rnacentral:rRNA from 1 species
GACGAACGCUGGCGGCGUGCCUAAUACAUGCAAGUAGAACGAGUUGAGAACGGGUGUGUAACGCGUAGGUAAAUGCCUCCUAGCGGGGGGUAACUAUUUGACAAGAUAGCUAAAACCGCAUUCUGUGAGAUGGACCUGCGUUGUAGUAGCUAGUUGGUGAGGUAAAGGCUCACCAAGGCGACGAUACAUAGCCGAAUUGAGAGGGUGAUCGGCCAAACUGUGACUGGUACACGGCCCAGACUCCUACGGGAGGCAGCAGUAGGGAAUCUUCGGCAAUGGACGGAAGUCUGACCGAGCAACUGCGCGUGAUUGAAGAAGGUUUUCGGAUCGGAAAGCUCUGUUGUUAGAGAAGCGGUAACUAAACAGAAAGGGACGGCUAACUACGUGCCAGCAGCCGCGGUAAUUC